UCAGAGAGCUGCAGUAGUGCUGGUGCGUCCUCCCACAACGUGAGUCAACCACUUCCACUUGUCCUCGGUCCAAGCCUGCAGGAAACGCCCAUGACAGCUCCCAGCGACCACUGGUCAGACAUUACACCAAGAUGUUGGAGAGAGAAACAAGAGAAGCUACAGAGACUCUCAGUAGAUUGCCCCCAUUGUCCAUGAUUCUCUGCUCUUCAAUCAAUCAGGUUUCUGAGUGUGAGGAGGCAACAAACAAUGACCCGGAGGAAGAUUGAGUGGAAGUCAGUGGUCUCCUACUUGUUUUUUUUUAUUUUGGGUAGGGGGACUUAUAGACAGACUUUUUCCCACACUACAGAUUUUCUAUUAAAUCUUAAAGUAUCCUAAUGUGUACUCAAUAUGCAACUGUUACAUCGUUUCAGACUAAAAAGACAA